rnacentral:rRNA from 1 species
GCGAAACUGCGAAUGGCUCAUUAUAUAAGUUAUCGUUUAUUUGAUAGUACCUUACUACUUGGAUAACCGUGGUAAUUCUAGAGCUAAUACAUGCUAAAAAUCCCGACUUCGGAAGGGAUGUAUUUAUUAGAUUAAAAACCAAUGCCCUCCGGGGCUCACUGGUGAUUCAUGAUAACUCCUCGAAUCGCAUGGCCUUGCGCCGGCGAUGGUUCAUUCAAAUUUCUUCCCUAUCAACUUUCGAUGUUUGGGUAUUGGCCAAACAUGGUUGCAACGGGUAACGGAGGGUUAGGGCUCGACCCCGGAGAAGGAGCCUGAGAAACGGCUACUACAUCCAAGGAAGGCAGCAGGCGCGCAAAUUACCCAAUCCCGACUCGGGGAGGUAGUGACAAUAAAUACUGAUACAGGGCUCUUUUGGGUCUUGUAAUUGGAAUGAGUACAAUUUAAAUCCCUUAACGAGGAACAAUUGGAGGGCAAGUCUGGUGCCAGCAGCCGCGGUAAUUCCAGCUCCAAUAGCGUAUAUUAAAGUUGUUGUGGUUAAAAAGCUCGUAGUUGAACCUUGGGCCUGGCUGGCCGGUCCGCCUCACCGCGUGUACUGGUCCGGCCGGGCCUUUCCCUCUGUGGAACCCCAUGCCCUUCACUGGGUGUGGCGGGGAAACAGGACUUUUACUGUGAAAAAAUUAGAGUGCUCCAGGCAGGCCUAUGCUCGAAUACAUUAGCAUGGAAUAAUAGAAUAGGACGUGUGGUUCUAUUUUGUUGGUUUCUAGGACCGCCGUAAUGAUUAAUAGGGACAGUCGGGGGCAUCAGUAUUCAAUUGUCAGAGGUGAAAUUCUUGGAUUUAUUGAAGACUAACUACUGCGAAAGCAUUUGCCAAGGAUGUUUUUCAUUAAUCAGGAACGAAAGUUAGGGGAUCGAAGACGAUCAGAUACCGUCGUAGUCUUAACCAUAAACUAUGCGACUAGGGAUCGGACGGUGUUAUAUUUUUGACCGUUCGGCACUUACGAGAAAUCAAGUGCUUGGGCUCAGGGGGGAGUAUGGUCGCAAGGCUGAACUCAAGAAUGACUGUAGGGCACCACCAAGGGGGUGGAGCUUGCGCUUAUUUGACUCCACACGGGGGGAACUCACCAGUCAGAAACAAUGAGGGAUUGACAGAUGAGAGCUCUUUCUGAUUUUGUGGGUGGUGGUGCAUGACCGUCCUAAGUGGUGGAGUGAUUUGUCUGCUUACUGCGAUAACGAACGAGACCUAACCUGCUAAAUAGCCCGUAUUGCUUUGGCAGUACGCUGGCUUCUUAGAGGGACUAUCGGCUCAAGCCGAUGGAAGUUUGAGGCAAUAACAGGUCUGUGAUGCCUUAGAUGUUCUGGGCCGCACGCGCGCUACACUGACGGAGCCAGCGAGUACUUCCUUGGCCGAAAGGCCCGGGUAAUCUUGUUAAACUCCGUCGUGCUGGGGAUAGAGCAUUGCAAUUAUUGCUCUUCAACGAGGAAUCCCUAGUAAGCGCAAGUCAUCAGCUUGCGUUGAUUACGUCCCUGCCCUUUGUACACACCGCCCGUCGCUACUACCGAUUGAAUGGCUCAGUGAGGCGUUCGGACUGGCCCAGAGAGGUGGGCAACUACCACUCAGGGCCGGAAAGUUCUCCAAACUCGGUCAUUUAGAGGAAGUAAAAGUCGUAACAAGGUCUCCGUUGGUGAACCAGCGGAGGGAUCAUUA